rnacentral:rRNA from 1 species
CCUACGGGUGGCAGCAGUGGGGAAUAUUGCGCAAUGGGCGAAUGCCUGACGCAGCGACGCCGCGUGAGGGAUGAAGGUCUUCGGAUCGUAAACCUCUGUCAGCAGGGAAGAACGGUCACUGUGCUAAUCAGCAGUUAAUUGACGGUACCUGCAACGGAAGCACCGGCUAACUCCGUGCCAGCAGCCGCGGUAAUACGGAGGAUCCGAGCGUUAUGCGGAUUUAGUGGGUUUAAAGGGAGCGUAGAGGGGUUUUUAAGUCAGUUGUGAAAGUUUGCGGCUCAACCGUUAAAUUUCAAUUUAUACUGGGAGGUUUGAGUACAGUUGAGGUAGGCGGAAUUCGUGGUGUAGCGGUGAAAUGCUUUGAUAUCACGAAGAACCCCGAUUGCGAAGGCAGCAUACCGGCGCCCAACUGACGCUGAAGCACGAAAGCGUGGGUAUCGAACAGGAUUAGAUACCCCAGUAGUC